ACACACACACACACACACACACACACACACACAGAAUAGGCCAGCCCACAGUGCUGUAAAAACAGCUAGGUAAACACCUAUGGGACAUACAGGGAGUAGAAAAGGCCAUGUUAUAGGGGUAGCAAUACCAGAACAGAACUGGGCCAGGAGAGCGUUGUGGAAGCCGGGAUGAUGGUUUUCGCCUCAAGGGAAAGACAGCAUGCUGUGUCUAGAGACAUUCAGCCCAGACCCCCUUACUAAGUGAGUCUGCGUCAGCCGAACAUGUUCAUUGGAUGCCUGGAGUCCCUGUCUGUGCUGCAGGACUGGCUAGGGUGGACCUGCAUGUGGGAAUAGGGACGCUCCAAGACUGGAGUCUCUCUAGCCAUUUGAGCUACAUCUUUCCUGCCCCCACCAGGCUGCACUUGCUCCUCCUAGGAUACUGAGACUCUGAUGAACCAGUUAACAUGCCAGGCAGAGUGGCAUGUGGGGUAGCCUGUCCUCGAAGGGAAGCAGAUGAAGCCCUUGUUGUUAUCUCUGGUUUUGUCUCUAUACCACAGCUGCCGUGGGACUCCUUCCUGCCCCCAGUGAACUUCCUGCUAGAAGGCAGCAUCCGUGCUUGGAACUGGGGUCAGUGAUGAGUGAGUCAUCUGUGUCCUUGUCUUCUGGAGGCCCGGGCAUUCUAGACUGGCCUCUGCCCGUGGUGACUCACAGAUGCCUCUGGAAGGGCAUGGCUGUGAGCUGUCAUCAGCCCCCGGGACAGGAUGCUAGGAGUGGCCCUCUGCCUAAAACCCACAGGGUCAGAUGGGUUCUCUGCAGUCUGUGCACCCUGAAGGGAAAUCUCUGCCAGUUCCCAAACCCAGGAGAAAGACCGGAGGAACGCACCAUGGGAAGGUACCAGAGUGAACGAUUGCAUCCCACCAUCAACCUCAACGCGGAAGAAGGAACCCUGCCUUAGAGAGUGAAGAGGUCCUGGGGAGGAGACAAGGUCUGCAGACUUGAUCACUGGCCCUUCCCACCUCCCUCUGAGUCUUUACUGUUCUGACACCCAGGGCCAUAACAAAUACUUCUCCUGCCUCACCUGGCUCCCAGGUCUCCACUUCUGUGUUGCUUCCCUGCCCCUCCUGGGGGUGGGGGUGUUUCUACCUUUGCCCUGUAGCAGCAGUACUUACUGGCCCCGCCCCCAGCCCACCAAAGCUGGAUAGCCUGCUCAUGCUACAAGUUCACCCACACUUCUGCGUAGGACUUAACACACUCCCCAUAACUAUUGUACGGACUUGGUUUUCACUUCCUCUCUCUCCAGAACCCAACAGGGCACUCAGCGCACAGCAGAUUUACCAUCCCUUCCCCAAACCUUUUGCCAACUUGAAAUAACUUCAAAGGAUGGGCAGGGAAGCCCAAGAGGUAAACUUCACGAGGAUAGCGUCAAUCAUGUGUCCAUCAUGGCUAGCAGCGUCAUCCAUGUGUGUGUGUAUAUAUAUAUAUAUAUAUAUGCUGGUUUGUCUCUAAAAGUCACAAGGGUGUGCACUGCUGAAGUGAUCCCACACAACAGGGAAAUAUGCAAGUCUGCCUUUAUCCACAUGUAUUCUGACACUCACUAGUUCCUUAUUAUGACACGAUUUUUGGACCGAUAUUUUGUGCCCCAAGCCAAAUCAAACAGCUGUCAAUGUGUCAACAACACAAACUAAGAGCCCAGUGAGAGCUGACAGCUAAGCUGGGUGCAGACCUCUACACUUGGAAACCGGGACGACAGAAGGAGCCACCGUUUAUACACGGAUGGGGAGGGGGUGCCACUCAAGGAUCAUGUCUGUCUUCACACUCAGCAUGUGGGCAGCAGGCCGACACCUGUCUGUGCGGUGCCCCUAGUCACUGCAGGAUCCCAACAGCAAGAACACAGAGACAUUGCCAUCUAACUUUUAUAUGAAGAAUUUAAUCAUCUAUACACAUAACUAGUCCAAAAGGUCGUAUUACAAUUGUUAAAGCCGCAGGUUUAUAUAUUUAUAUAUUUUACAUUCACAUCCACACAAACACCGGAGCGCAAGUAGACGAGGAGGGGCCGCCCUGUCCUUUGCACCAUGUGAGGGAGAAGGACCGGGACACAACUGUCAGCCAGGCGUCGCCCCAGGGGGAACCCCGAGGGACGUCAGUUAACUUAUGACCGGGUUUCCUGUGCUGUCAGCAGUGGGCAGUUUCUCUUUUUCGUUUUUAUUGAGAGAUUCCAACUAAUGUCUAAAGACAGACGUGGCUUAGCUACAGCAGUUAACACACACGUGGACCAGGAGCCGCUUCGUAUCGCUCUCCACAGUCUAGUUAAAAAUGUAAACACUGGAAAUGAAUUGCAGGGAGACUUCUAUACAUUCUUUCUUGUCAAGAAAAUUACUUGUUCAAAAUAUUCCAUGAAAAGCAACUGGAAUAAAACUUCAUGUAACAGAGACUAAGAUUGUAGAUACUGUUGAUCAUAACCACCUUGGUGGUGGUGUCUUACUGAUUUAUGGUAUGAAAAUACGCCAAAUUAAAAACUCAAAACAGAACACCAACCAACUAGAUAAAUCUGAGACCAAACGGAAACACAGGUAUUUUCUCAUGUGGCUACACAGUCACUGUGCAAAAUAAAAUCAAUGCAGUAGAUGAGAGCAUUGUACACGGUGGUAGCGUUUGCCAUGGGAAGAGCUACUUCUUCAGUACA